GAGACUUGUUUUAGAUUGGCUGGGCCAACUCUGUGUUUCCUGUAGAAAUGUUUGAACAUAUGAGGCAGCAAAGCAGAACGUUUAUCUUGUGAACCGUUCUCCAUGUUUCAGACAUAAGAUUUCUGUUCUCAGUGAAUUUACGUGACAGAGCAAUGGAGACACUCUUGGGCCUGCUCAUCCUUUGGCUGCAGCUGCAAUGGGUGAGCAGUAAACAGGAGGUGACGCAGAUUCCUGCAGCUCUGAGUGUCCCAGAAGGAGACAGCUUGGUUCUCAACUGCAGUUUCACUGAUAGCACUAUUUACUACCUCCAGUGGUUUAGGCAGGAUCCUGGGAAAGGUCUCACAUCUCUCUUGUUAAUUCAGUCAAGUCAGAGAGAGCAAACAAAUGGAAGACUUAAUGCCUCGCUGGAUAAAUCAUCAGGACAUAGUACUUUAUACAUUGCAGCUUCUCAACCUGGUGACUCAGCCACCUACCUCUGUGCUGUGAGACACAGUGUACAGCAGGCACCUGCAACCAAUACCCAAACUCUACAGUUGAGGCUCUAAUCAUAUGUUUUAUUGUGAGACUCAGGAAUGUUUUUGCAUUAACAGGUCUUCUAAACUGACACUGUCACUACAUAGAAGCAAUUAAAUACACAAAACUUGAAUUAAUAAUCUGAAGUUAAACUAUGAAUUCUCUCAUCUUUAGAUUUUUAUCAAUUUUAAUAUAAAUAAUAUUUUUAUUUCAAUUAAUUUACAUGCCAUACAGUUCAGUCUUUUAAAGUGAAAAAUUAAGUGGUAUUUAGCAGAUUCACAAUGUUCUGCAGCUUUUAUCUCUGUGUAGUUUCAAAAUUUUUUAACAUCCCAAAAGAAAACCACAUACUCAUUGAGCAGUUACCUUAUCCACCUCCCCCCAGCUGUUGGCAGCCAGAAACCUGCUUUCAGUCUCUAUGGAAUUGCCUAUUCUGUACAUUUCAUAUAAAUGGAAUAAUAUAGUAUGUAGUGGCAUUUCUGUAUGGCUUCUCUCACAUGGCAUAAUUUUCUGAGGUUUAUUCAACUUAGGAAGGACCAGAGAAAGCUAAAUAUGCACAUCUAACCAAUCACAUAGGAUACCUCACUUUUAGUUAGCCUGCUUAUAUCUUCCCCAUGCAAGAGCCUCCAAUCAGGGCACACCUGAAGCUUUGUUAGUUUUCUUCCACUCUAAAGCUUCCCUACUCCUCUGCCUAUCUUUAAGUCUCUGACAAAACAUGAGGGACGGUAGCUGACUCCUUUGGUAUAGCAAGCUCUGAAUAAAUUGCCUUUGCUUUUCUCAUUUAGGUGGUCCUCACUUAUCUCCACAGAUUCCUUGUAAAGACACUAAAUUUUUCUUUCCUAUCAAGUUCUCACUUUCAUAAGAGUCACUUUGCACAUGAAAAAUUAAUGAAUCACCAUAAUAAAUGUUAAAUCUGAAGGGCAGCUUGUCCUCCAUUCAGAUAGAUCAUUGAAGCUUACAUCAAUCAG